rnacentral:rRNA from 1 species
GUGGAUUAGAUACCCCGGUAGUCCACGCCCUAAACGAUGUCAACUGGUUGUCGGGUCUUCAUUGACUUGGUAACGUAGCUAACGCGUGAAGUUGACCGCCUGGGGAGUACGGUCGCAAGAUUAAAACUCAAAGGAAUUGACGGGGACCCGCACAAGCGGUGGAUGAUGUGGAUUAAUUCGAUGCAACGCGAAAAACCUUACCUACCCUUGACAUGUACGGAAUUCCGCUGAGAGGUGGAAGUGCCCGAAAGGGAGCCGUAACACAGGUGCUGCACGGCCGUCGACAACU